rnacentral:rRNA from 1 species
GACGGAGGAUGCAAGCGUUAUCCGGAAUGAUUGGGCGUAAAGCGUCCGCAGGUGGCAGUUCAAGUCUGCUGUCAAAGACCGGGGCUUAACUUCGGAAAGGCAGUGGAAACUGAACAGCUAGAGUAUGGUAGGGGCAGAGGGAAUUCCUGGUGUAGCGGUGAGAUGCGUAGAGAUCAGGAAGAACACCCGUGGCGAAGGCGGCUCUCUGGGACGGUACUGACGCUGAGACGCGAAAGCGUGGGGAGCGAACAGG